rnacentral:lncRNA from 1 species
AUGAAGCUGAGGUGUGGGAUGUGUGAUGAGCCAAAGCCUCCAAAAUACAACCCUCACCCCAGAAUUUUGGAUCAGCACUGGUCAUCCAUGAUUUUUUUAACAAAUGAUUCUGCUCCCAUUUCAGAUGUCUGUGACUUCCACUUGGCUCAGCAUCCAGCUGUAUUUGAAGAAGCCUGGGGACUAUGGAUGGACCUUUUCCCAUUACACCAGUCGUGCUAGAUUUUGUUCUGAUCAGUAACUACACAUUCUCUGCUUGUGCCAUGGUCGCCCUCCCUCGACUCCUGGCUCAUCCUCCCUUGAGAAGCAGCUCUGCUAUUGCUGACCCCUUAGGGUGGGACCACGAGGUAAAUUGCUUUAAUCAAAGAAAAAAAAAAAUUAAAUUAAAGUAAAAUGACAGUAAAUAUUACUGACUAGAUUGUGUAAUCAAUGACAAGCAAAUGCUCAGUUAAUAUUUCUUCCCAUCCCUGUGACACUUUUGUGUGCACAGAUAUUUUGAUAAGCCUUACUCUGAUUUUUGUUGCAACAGUGGAUAAAGAGCCUUCACUGUCAUCAUCCUGCUCUCCAGUCUUACAAGACACCUCUCCACAUCAUGUCUAAUGACUGCUUUCUCCCUCACAGCUCUCAUGCUACUGCCAUAGCAGCAUGUCACCAUGUAGAUUCAACCACCAUUCCGUUCAACAUCUCUCAUUUCUGCUCUUAGUGGAAAGUGCUGUGUUUGUCUGUCCUCUUUGAACUUCACAGUGCUUUACCAUAACAGUAUUUGGCUUGUUAUUGUUGCUGUUAAACUUUCCAUCUCACCUUUCAUAUUGUAGCUGCAUCUGGUAUUUCUUUUACUUAAACCUUUACAAUCUCAGAUUAAUUUAUUUCAUAAGUCAUUUCAAGCCAUUGAGACAAAUGACUGCUGCAGUCUGACUGUAAGUUUGGUCUAUAUACUUUCCAUUUAACUUUGAUCUGAGAACAUAUCUCAGAGACUGCAUUUCUCUAAAGAACUGUGGAAUUAAGCAAAUGAUAGAUAAAUACUGAAGGCAGUGAUGAUUCAGGUUGUCAGAGAACCAAGGAAUUAUCUGAUGCAUUCUGGAAUUCACAGCUACAUUCAUGAUGGAACAUGAUUAUUGAAAUGGAAGACUUCAGCCUCAGAUAAUUAGGAGUCUGGUGAAAUUCUACUUACUUUUAGAUACAAUCCUCCACACCAUACCUAGAGAAUUAGACAUCAAAAAGU